rnacentral:misc_RNA from 1 species
AUGUCGUAACAAGGUUUCCGUAGGUGACCUGCGAAGGAUCAUUAAUGAGUUGCCGUGGAGCCUUCGGUAGUACCGCCGUCUUCACCCGUGCCUUAUAUACUAUGCUUGCUUUCCGGGCUUACCCCGGAGAGAUCCAAACUCUUGAAUUUAUUUCUGUCUGGACUAUUAAAUUGGUUUAAAAUGC